CAUCAGAUGACUGAAAGCAAGUAAUGGUCUCUUAAACCAGUUUAUGAUUCCCUAGCAAGUAUCUCUGAUGA
rnacentral:tRNA from 1 species